GGAAAUAAGUUUAAUUAGCAGUGAUAUUGUACAGCAUAAAAUUAGGCACACACGCAUGGUAGUCACGCAAGCCGCCUUACGGUGCUCAUUGUACACAACAAGCUCACACUACUAAUAACUCGCACACAUAAUUUCUUGAGAGUACAUAUAUACGCGAGAGGUGAUCAAUAACUAGCUAGCAUCGUACACGACGAGCAUCUGCAUGUAUGGUGCUUCUCGCAUCCGUGGACGACGACGAUGUCAGGACGACGACGUCCCGCCGGGCUUCGAGCGGAGGGCCCACAUGCUCCUCUGCCUGUUGAUGAACUCCUCCGCCUUCCUGUCGAUGUCAUCUCCUUUCGCGGCGCCACCGCCACCCGGUGGAGCAGUACGGACGCCGCCGCCGCCGGGGACGGGGGGGCUGGCGCUGGGGUCCUGGAUGAUGAGGACCUGGUCGAUCCUGUCCACCUUCUGCACCGCCACCUCCCCGAGAACCGCCCUGGCAGCACCGGCGCCGGCGGCCAGAGCUGGGCCGCCCUUGCUCCAACGGAACGUCUCCGUCUUGCUACCCAUACGAGCCUAGCUAGCAAGCUGCCCGGUUUUCUCGUUUG
rnacentral:lncRNA from 1 species